rnacentral:rRNA from 1 species
UUCGAAGCAACGCGUAAGACCUUACAGGUCUUGACAUCCGAUGCUAUUUCUGAGAUAGAAAGUUACUUCGGUACAUCGGUGACAGGUGGUGCAUGGUUGUCGUCAGCUCGUGUCGUGAGAUGUUGGGUUAAGUCCCGCAACGAGCGCAACCCCUAUUGUUAGUUGCCAUCAUUCAGUUGGGCACUCUAGCGAGACUGCCGGUAAUAAACCGGAGGAAGGUGGGGAUGACGUCAAACCAUCAUGCCCCUUAUGACCUGGGCUACACACGUGCUACAAUGGUUGGUACAACGAGUUGCGAGUCGGUGACGGCGAGCUAAUCUCUUAAAGCCAAUCUCAGUUCGGAUUGUAGGCUGCAACUCGCCUACAUGAAGGUCGGAAUCGCUAGUAAUCGCGGAUCAGCACCGCCGCCGGUGAAUACGUUCCCGGGCCUU